rnacentral:misc_RNA from 1 species
UGAUUUCUAAAGAUACAUUAUUUGGACGCCUUCUCAUCAUCUAUAUAGCAUACAUUUUAAAUUUCAAGUCUCUUACUUCAAAAACAUAGGACUUUCAUACAAACUUCCAACCCCCAUUUUACCCCCUUAGGGGUCGAUUUUCGUAAAAUUAGUUCUUAGCGGAUGUUUACGCUCUGUAAGGAGCUUUCCUGCCAAAUUUCAAGUUUGUAGGUGUGAUAGUUUCGGAGAUUUCGUGAUCAGUGAGUCAACGUACCAUCCCCCGUUUCAACCCCAAAAAGGG